UUUUAAUACAUCACCAGGGAGCUGGAUGCAGUUCAGUGGGUGUGAGUUACAUGUUGAGCAGCUGAUGGCACAGAAAAGGUUCUAAAAGGAAGAGGCUGUGCUGCAAUUGCCUUUUAUUUUGCAGCCUAUAAACUGCACAACCAGUACAACCACACGAUAGCGCUGUCAACUCACAAAAGACGGAAACGCACCGAGGCCAGCUCGAAUCCAGCCCCAGGACAGAGCCAAGUCUGAAACAUCCCUGCUCUCAAAUCACCUGUGUGAGGACAAAACGGUAACAAACUCGAAAACAUCUGCCAAAACCGGGGCUCACAAAAGUGUCGGUGGAGAAAGCUCUUUGCUGCCUACAAUUUCAAUGGCACCCAUCAAACUACAAAGGCACACCCUGCUGUCGCCACUUUCCUUCUCAGCUCCAGGUACCACCGUAAGCCUUCAGUCUCACAGAGUCAGGAUCCAAAUGGAAUGGCACCAGGGACUGCUCACACACUAAAGCUACAAGGACAAAAACUCAACAGUUUGGCAUCUGCAUUCCCACUGACAGUUCAACAGCUCUAACCCAGAGAACUGCCUAUUGGGAAAAGCCUCUAAAUUCACUGAGACCACUCAAAAGUGCCCAUCCAAAUUUGCUUUCUUUGCCAAAGAGAGGAACUAGAACUCCAUCUCAAAAGAAAUGGUAACCCUUCCUCCAAAAUCCAAAACAUCCAGGGACUGAUCCCCUACAGAGGUGUCAGAACACUGGUACUGGGCAUUACCUGCCCAGGGCAGUAGACCAGCUACACACCAAGACCUAGCGUAGCUGCCUACCUCGUCCAAAAGAAUUGUGCUGGCAGAAUUUCAAGAGGGCUACCUCUGAGAAGUGGAAAACACAUGCCAAAUUUAAUCUUUCAGGAGGGAGACAGCCUUGCAAAGAUAGAUACCAACUCCAUGUACAAAUUUAGUCAGUGCUUCCAAACCAAAUAUGCCAGGAUAGAAAGUUGCUGCCGCCUUUGCGCUGCACAUCUUAUCUGCACCUCCAACACUGGGGCUACAUUCUUUCCUUCCCAUGAGAAAGCAUUGCUGUCCUCCUUCAGGAACUUACCAAGCAGAAGUUGCAUAGCACAUCCAGCACUGGCUACGUCCAACAAUAGCUCCUACACAGAAGUGUCUUGCUGGACUAUACCAUGCCCUCAGCUUUUCAGUGCUACGUAGCCCUGUGUUCUGCCUCUCUUGACAUCUGAAUCUUAACUGGAAGCACUUAUAGGACAGCAGCACAAUCUGGAUGAAGAGAAAGAGACAUGAAGCACAUGUUUUUGUCCUGGCAUAUUUUUGUGUGACUUCUAUUGGGAUCUUUAAUCCUUAUGAAGCUGUAAUGUGUACAGCUGUCCUUCGAGCUGAGAAGCACCGUGCAGAGAGCUGAUCCCUGUGGCCUCAAUGCCUACUGACACCUUCUAUGUUAGUUAUUUCAAGCUGCUGGAUACAAUAGAUGUCACUGAUGACACACAGGGCAUCCACGACUGCUGGGCCUUUGUGGACCUGCUGGAUGGGCCCCAACCUCCUCCCUAAGGGGCAGAGGUGCUGAGUGCCAGAUUGUGCAUCCAUCCCUCCCUCCCCCCAGAUUACCUCCUGGCUAUCCCAUCCGGCACAGUGGAGACUGGACCAAACUUCCUAUGGCUGGCCCUGAGCCCCCCCAAGACUACAGCCUCAGCUAUGCUGGGCAAGGUGAGGGGAUCACCUGGGCAGCUGGUGAGAAAGGGUGUGCAUUGGCUUUGCUGCUGCACAAUGGGCUCUUCCCAUCACCCUGCCUGCUCCCUGAGCCCGCUUGUGCUUCCCUGCUCCCCGUGCUGGGUGAGUCU